ACACGACUACAUUAGAUACCCCCGUAGUCCUAGCCGUAAACGAUACUCGCUAGGUGUCGGCCACGGUGCGACCGUUGUCGGUGCCGUAGGGAAGCCGUGAAGCGAGCCACCUGGGAAGUACGGCCGCAAGGCUGAAACUUAAAGGAAUUGGCGGGGGAGCACCACAACGGGUGGAGCUUGCGGUUUAAUUGGAUUCAACGCCGGAAAUCCUACCGGGACCGACAGCAACAUGAAGGCCAGGCUGAAGACUUUGCCGGAUUAGCUG
rnacentral:rRNA from 1 species